UACGAAGGGGGCUAGCGUUGCUCGGAAUCACUGGGCGUAAAGGGUGCGUAGGCGGGUUUUUAAGUCAGGGGUGAAAUCCUGGAGCUCAACUCCAGAACUGCCUUUGAUACUGAAGAUCUUGAGUUCGGGAGAGGUGAGUGGAACUGCGAGUGUAGAGGUGAAAUUCGUAGAUAUUCGCAAGAACACCAGUGGCGAAAGCGGCUCACUGGCCCGAUACUGACGCUGAGGCACGAAAGCGUGGGGAGCAAACAGG
rnacentral:rRNA from 1 species